rnacentral:rRNA from 1 species
GUGGGGAAUCUUGCGCAAUGGGCGAAAGCCUGACGCAGCCAUGCCGCGUGAAUGAUGAAGGUCUUAGGAUUGUAAAAUUCUUUCACCGGGGACGAUAAUGACGGUACCCGGAGAAGAAGCUCCGGCUAACUUCGUGCCAGCAGCCGCGGUAAUACGAAGGGGGCUAGCGUUGCUCGGAAUUACUGGGCGUAAAGGGCGCGUAGGCGGACAGCUUAGUCAGAGGUGAAAGCCCAGGGCUCAACCUUGGAAUUGCCUUUGAUACUGGCUUUCUGGAGUUUGGGAGAGGUGAUUGGAACUCCGAGUGUAGAGGUGAAAUUCGUAGAUAUUCGGAAGAACACCAGUGGCGAAGGCGACUCACUGGCCCAAUACUGACGCUGAGGCGCGAAAGCGUGGGGAGCAAACAGGAUUAGAAACCCUAGUAGUCC